rnacentral:miRNA from 14 species
GUUGGUUGGUUGGUUGGUUGAUCGGUCGGUCGGUCGGUCGGUCGGUCGGUCGGUCGGUCGGUCGGUCGGUCGGUU